rnacentral:rRNA from 1 species
CCUACGGGAGGCAGCAGUGGGGAAUAUUGCACAAUGGGGGAAACCCUGAUGCAGCAACGCCGCGUGGAGGAUGACGCAUUUCGGUGUGUAAACUCCUUUUAUAAGGGAAGAUAAUGACGGUACCUUAUGAAUAAGCACCGGCUAACUCCGUGCCAGCAGCCGCGGUAAUACGGAGGGUGCAAGCGUUACUCGGAAUCACUGGGCGUAAAGGAUGCGUAGGCUGUAAUAUAAGUCAGAAGUGAAAUCCAACGGCUUAACCGUUGAACUGCUUUUGAAACUGUUUUACUAGAAUAUGGGAGAGGUAGAUGGAAUUGGUGGUGUAGGGGUAAAAUCCGUAGAUAUCACCAGGAAUACCGAUUGCGAAGGCGAUCUACUGGAACAUUAUUGACGCUGAGGCAUGAAAGCGUGGGGAGCAAACAGGAUUAGAUACCCCAGUAGUC